UACGGAGGGGGCUAGCGUUGUUCGGAAUUACUGGGCGUAAAGCGCACGUAGGCGGUGGAUCAAGUCAGGCGUGAAAGCCCUGGGCUCAACCUAGGAACUGCGCUUGAUACUGGUCCGCUCGAGUCCAGGAGAGGGUAGCGGAAUUCCCAGUGUAGAGGUGAAAUUCGUAGAUAUUGGGAAGAACACCAGUGGCGAAGGCGGCUACCUGGACUGGUACUGACGCUGAGGUGCGAAAGCGUGGGGAGCAAACAGG
rnacentral:misc_RNA from 1 species